UACGUGGGCAGCAAGCGUUGUUCGGAAUUACUGGGCGUAAAGAGUGUGUAGGCGGUGCUCUAAGUUCGGUGUGAAAUCUCCCGGCUUAACUGGGAGGGUGCGCCGGAAACUGGAGUGCUCGAGCGUGGGAGAGGAAAGCGGAAUUCCUGGUGUAGCGGUGAAAUGCGUAGAUAUCAGGAGGAACACCUGCGGUGUAGACGGCUUUCUGGACCAUUGCUGACGCUGAGACACGAAAGCGUGGGUAGCAAACAGG
rnacentral:rRNA from 1 species